UACGUAGGGGGCAAGCGUUGUCCGGAUUUAUUGGGCGUAAAGAGCUCGUAGGCGGUUUGGUAAGUCAGGUGUGAAAUCUCCACGCUCAACGUGGAGGGGCCACCUGAUACUGCCAUGACUGGAGUCCGGUAGAGGAGUGUGGAAUUCCCGGUGUAGCGGUGAAAUGCGUAGAGAUCGGGAAGAACACCCGUGGCGAAGGCGGCCAGCUGGGCCGGUUCUGACGCUGAGGCGCGAAAGCGUGGGGAGCAAACAGG
rnacentral:rRNA from 1 species